rnacentral:snRNA from 1 species
CCGCUUCUGCAGCGCGCAGACUAAACUAGAUACAGAAAAGGUUAUCAUGGCCUCUGGGCAAGGGUGACACACAAAUUAAGUCACAUUUGU